rnacentral:rRNA from 1 species
GUGUCAGCAGCCGCGGUAAAACGUAGGAGGCAAGCGUUAUCCGAAUUUACUGGGUGUAAAGCGCGUGCAGGCGGUUCGGUAAGUUGGAUGUGAAAUCUCCUGGCUCAACUAGGAGAGGUCGUUCAAAACUGCCGGGCUAGAGGACGGUAGAGGAAGGUGGAAUUCCCGGUGUAGUAGUGAAAUGCGUAGAUAUCGGGAGGAACACCUGUGGCGAAAGCGGCCUUCUGGGCCGUACCUGACGCUCAGACGCGAAAGCUAGGGGAGCGAACGGGAUUAGAUACCCCUGUAGUCC